UACGAAGGGGGCUAGCGUUGUUCGGAAUCACUGGGCGUAAAGCGCACGUAGGCGGAUUUUUAAGUCAGGGGUGAAAUCCCGGGGCUCAACCUCGGAACUGCCUUUGAUACUGGAGAUCUUGAGUCCGGAAGAGGUAAGUGGAACUGCGAGUGUAGAGGUGAAAUUCGUAGAUAUUGGGAAGAACACCGGUGGCGAAGGCGGCGAGCUGGCCUGUACCUGACGCUGAGGCGCGACAGCGUGGGGAGCAAACAGG
rnacentral:rRNA from 1 species